AGAGUUUGCUCCUGGCUCAGGAUGAACGCUGGCGGCGUGCUUAACACAUGCAAGUCGAACGAAGCACCUUGAUUUGAUUCUUCGGAUGAAGAUCUUGGUGACUGAGUGGCGGACGGGUGAGUAACGCGUGGGUAACCUGCCUCAUACAGGGGGAUAACAGUUAGAAAUGACUGCUAAUACCGCAUAAGACCACAGCACCGCAUGGUGCAGGGGUAAAAACUCCGGUGGUAUGAGAUGGACCCGCGUCUGAUUAGGUAGUUGGUGGGGUAACGGCCUACCAAGCCGACGAUCAGUAGCCGACCUGAGAGGGUGACCGGCCACAUUGGGACUGAGACACGGCCCAAACUCCUACGGGAGGCAGCAGUGGGGAAUAUUGCACAAUGGGGGAAACCCUGAUGCAGCGACGCCGCGUGAGCGAUGAAGUAUUUCGGUAUGUAAAGCUCUAUCAGCAGGGAAGAAAAUGACGGUACCUGACUAAGAAGCACCGGCUAAAUACGUGCCAGCAGCCGCGGUAAUACGUAUGGUGCAAGCGUUAUCCGGAUUUACUGGGUGUAAAGGGAGCGUAGACGGAGUGGCAAGUCUGAUGUGAAAACCCGGGGCUCAACCCCCGGGACUGCAUUGGAAACUGUCAAUCUAGAGUACCGGAGAGGUAAGCGGAAUUCCUAGUGUAGCGGUGAAAUGCGUAGAUAUUAGGAGGAACACCAGUGGCGAAGGCGGCUUACUGGACGGUAACUGACGUUGAGGCUCGAAAGCGUGGGGAGCAAACAGGAUUAGAUACCUGGUAGUCCACGCCGUANACGAUGACUACUAGGUGUCGGGCAGCAAAGCUGUUCGGUGCCGCAGCAAACGCAAUAAGUAGUCCACCUGGGGAGUACGUUCGCAAGAAUGAAACUCAAAGGAAUUGACGGGGACCCGCACAAGCGGUGGAGCAUGUGGUUUAAUUCGAAGCAACGCGAAGAACCUUACCUGCUCUUGACAUCUCCCUGACCGGCAAGUAAUGUUGCCUUUCCUUCGGGACAGGGAUGACAGGUGGUGCAUGGUUGUCGUCAGCUCGUGUCGUGAGAUGUUGGGUUAAGUCCCGCAACGAGCGCAACCCCUAUCUUUAGUAGCCAGCGGUUUGGCCGGGCACUCUAGAGAGACUGCCAGGGAUAACCUGGAGGAAGGUGGGGAUGACGUCAAAUCAUCAUGCCCCUUAUGAGCAGGGCUACACACGUGCUACAAUGGCGUAAACAAAGGGAGGCAGAACCGCGAGGUCGAGCAAAUCCAAAAAUAACGUCUCAGUUCGGAUUGUAGUCUGCAACUCGACUACAUGAAGCUGGAAUCGCUAGUAAUCGCGAAUCAGAAUGUCGCGGUGAAUACGUUCCCGGGUCUUGUACACA
rnacentral:rRNA from 1 species